GGGAAUUUCGGGGCCAUUUUUGGGAAUUUCGGGAUGGGGAUUUUUGGGAUAAUUCCAGGAUAUUUUGGGAACAUUUUGGGGAUAUUUUGGGGAUAUUUUGGGGAUAUUUUGGGAACAUUUUGGGGAUAUUUUGGGGCUAUUUUGGGGAUAUUUUGGGAAUAUUUUGGGGAUAUUUUGGGGCUAUUUUGGGGAUAUUUUGGGAACAUUUUAGGGAUAUUUUAGGGAUAUUUUGGGGAUAUUUUGGGAACAUUUUAGGGAUAUUUUGGGAAUGUUUUGGGACUGUUUUGGGAAUAUUUUGGGGAUACUUUGGGGAUAUUUUGGGGAUAUUUUGGGAAUAUUUUAGGGAUAUUUUGGGAAUAUUUUGGGGAUAUUUUGGGGAUAUUUUGGGAACAUUUUGGGGACAUUUUGGGGAUGUUUUGGGUACCUGGAUGGCUGCGGUAGGCCCCGGGGGAGUUGUCCAGGAUGACGAUGCUGGACAGGUCGCUGUGCACCACCGACAGGUCCUUGAUGUAACUGCCCAGCUCCAGCGUGCAGUGCUGGGGGCGGGGCCACGUCAGGGACACGCCCACCGGAAGUGGGACACGCCCAUCGGAAAUGGGACCCGCCCACCGGAGAUGGGACAUGCCCAUCAACCACAGGACACGCCCACCGGGUUUGGGACACGCCCACUGACCACAGGACGUGCCCACCGGGGAUUGGACACGCCCACCGGAAGUGGGACACGCCCACCGGAAAUGGGACACGCCCACCGGAAAUGGGACACGCCCACCGGAAAUGGGACACGCCCAUCGGAAAUGGGACACGCCCACCGGAAAUGGGACACGCCCCCAAUCGCAGGACACACCCAGUGGAACUGGGACACGCCCACAGACACGCCCAUGGACACGCCCAACACACCUGUCCAGGUGUUCCUCACCUGUCACCUGUGUCACCCCUCACACACACCUGUCACACACCUGUCACACCUGUCCAGGUGUUCCUGAGCUGUGUCACACCUGUCCAGGUGUAUCUCACCUGUCACACCUGUCCCUCACCUGUGUCACCUGUGUCACCCCUCACACACACCUGUCCCUUACCUGUCACACCUGUCCAGGUGUUCCUCACCUGUCACCUGUGUCACCCCUCACACACACCUGUCACACACCUGUCACACCUGUCCAGGUGUAUCUCACCUGUCACACCUGUCCCUCACCUGUGUCACCUGUCACACCUGUCCAGGUGUUCCUCACCUGUCACCACCUGUCCAGGUGUAUCUCACACACACAGGUGUAUCUCUCACACACAGGUGUAUCUCUCACCUGUCCAGGUGUAUCUCUCACACACAGGUGUAUCUCUCACCUGUCCAGGUGUAUCUCUCACACACACAGGUGUAUCUCUCACCUGUCCAGGUGUAUCUCUCACACACAGGUGUGUCUCUCACCUGUCCAGGUGUAUCUCACACACACACAGGUGUAUCUCACACCUGUCCAG
rnacentral:lncRNA from 1 species